UACGAAGGGGGCUAGCGUUGUUCGGAUUUUACUGGGCGUAAAGCGCACGUAGGCGGAUCUUUAAGUCAGAGGUGAAAUCCCAAGGCUCAACCUUGGAACUGCCUUUGAUACUGGGGAUCUUGAGUCCGGGAGAGGUGAGUGGAACUGCGAGUGUAGAGGUGAAAUUCGUAGAUAUUCGCAAGAACACCAGUGGCGAAGGCGGCUCACUGGCCCGGAACUGACGCUGAGACGCGAAAGCGUGGGGAGCAAACAGG
rnacentral:rRNA from 1 species